CUUGGAACCAUUUCUCUCUCCUCUUUCUCUUUAGUUUCUCUCUAUUUUCUCUCUAAAACAUAUCACUUUCUCUCUCUAAAAGUUUCUCUAUCUAAAAGUACCUUUCUCUAGAUGGCCUCUCUAUUCUAAGAUUUUAUGGAUUCUUAGAAAGACCUUCUAAUGACUUGGAUAAAUCCUGGUGAAGGGAUCAUGACUGUUAAUUAUCCAAUAGCCAAUCCUAUAAGGAUUUAGGAUGUUUAUUUCAAAAGAAUAAUCAUUAUUAAAUACUUU
rnacentral:lncRNA from 1 species